rnacentral:rRNA from 1 species
AUUGAACGCUGGCGGCAUGCCUUACACAUGCAAGUCGAACGGCAGCACGGGUGCUUGCACCUGGUGGCGAGUGGCGAACGGGUGAGUAAUACAUCGGAACAUGUCCUGUAGUGGGGGAUAGCCCGGCGAAAGCCGGAUUAAUACCGCAUACGAUCUACGGAUGAAAGCGGGGGACCUUCGGGCCUCGCGCUAUAGGGUUGGCCGAUGGCUGAUUAGCUAGUUGGUGGGGUAAAGGCCUACCAAGGCGACGAUCAGUAGCUGGUCUGAGAGGACGACCAGCCACACUGGGACUGAGACACGGCCCAGACUCCUACGGGAGGCAGCAGUGGGGAAUUUUGGACAAUGGGCGAAAGCCUGAUCCAGCAAUGCCGCGUGUGUGAAGAAGGCCUUCGGGUUGUAAAGCACUUUUGUCCGGAAAGAAAUCCUUUGCCCUAAUACGGGCGGGGGAUGACGGUACCGGAAGAAUAAGCACCGGCUAACUACGUG